UAUUUGAUGCCACAGCCAAUGCUCGAGCUCUCAGUUACAACAAAGGACUAGAGAAGUGAUUUGACUGUUUCACUCACUGCCCCAGGCGGUCGUGUGGACAUUCAUCGAGAAACUUGAUUUGAUUUGAAGUUGAUGAUGUCUUUGAGUGCUUAAGUUGGAAAUCAGGAUGAUGGAAUUAUCGACGUCUGGCGUACGGACGAUUGCUAACGAGUCGCCUGUAGAUUUGUUCAACGCGUCCUUUAACCCUACAGGAUGUAACAACUCCUAUGUUCCGACUCAAGAGGAAUAUAGACAAGCUCUUGGAGGAUUCUGGAUGCCCCUUA